AUGUCUGGGAUGCUUUCCCAAAGAGUGAAUGAGAGAAAAAAAAAGUCUUUGUCAAGGACACUUAGUACCGGAGGCGCCUGGCGUGCGUGCGUGCGUGCGUGCGUGCGUGCGUGUGUGUGUGUGUGUGUGUGCGUGCGUGCGCGUGCACCCGACCCCAGACCUGCGUUUGCGAUGGGGCGCAUCCUCAGGUUUCCAUUCCAUCAUUUGCCACAAGGAAGUCUGUCCCCCAGUAGCUCCAGGAAGGUCGGAGACAGCUUCAGUUCAGGCGGUCCAGGUCAGUUUCUUGGUCUCCUCUGCAGUGGCAUAGAGAGGAAAGCAGAAUCAUCGUCUCUGGGCUGCUUCUUCUGAGACUCCCACAACUCCUGUAAAAAACAGUUCUCCAAGUCGUGCACAGGCUAGAGAAGUCGCAGGAUCGGAACCAGAAGUCUGAAUGAACCUGGCAAACCCAGGGAGAGGACAGCCAAUCCGCCCCACAGCAAUCAUUCAAUCCUCUCAAAGACCGUCGGGGGGCCACAAUUAGACCAAGCAUCUGAGGCUUUCAGCAGACCGCACUUCACAU